rnacentral:lncRNA from 1 species
CACCUCUUGCUUUCAUGCAUGUGAUCUUAUAUCUGUUUUUUUUGGUCGGAUGGUGACCUUAUCUCUUGUCUUCUCGAAAUGCUGGUUUCGAAAUUGUAGAUUGGUUUGUUCUCCACAUGUAUUACGGAUAGGGUAAAACUGAUUCUUCUCUUUUCUUUUUCUUUUUAAGAAAAAUAACAUUGGAAGUUAAAAAAAAUUCGUAGAGAUUAAUAUAGAACAGUUAUUCAGGCUUGCCAAACAAACAUUGAAAUUUUGUCUUCUUCUUCCUCCCUCUUUCUUCUCCUCGCAGCUUGCAUCUUCUUCUCCAUAGGGUCGUCUCCCAUGGCUGCCAAGGGCCAACAAGGGACCUCCAAACCAUUUCCAAGACCACCAAGGGGUUGUCUGACCCCAUUGACCCAUGGUGGCCUUGCCACUUCCUAUAGGGUCCCCUACAAAUUUUAUUUCAACAAUUCAAAUCGUAUAUUUGUCAAGUCUUCAUUCAUAGACAAUAUUUGCAAAAACGCAUGCAAAUUGAAAAUCAUUAAGGCAUCUAUUUGAGAUCAACAAAAUAAAUUAAAAUGGUGCUUCAAAAAAAGGAUAAUAACAACCAUCUAAUUGAGUGGUUAAAUGGUUUCAAAAUCAAGUGAUUUUUGGC